GGAGCGGCCUCGGCCUCGGCCUCAGCCCGCCGCCCCGAAGCUGUGGGGCGCGCGGCGGCCUCUGCUCCGACACGUGCUCGUGCUGUGGGGGGGCACGUGCCGGCCCCGCCCUCCCCCUCCGUGCGCACGUGGCACGCCCCUGCCUCACGGUGCCCCCCACCUCUGUCUUCUCAGGGGUGCCCGUCUCUGCCCCUCUUCCCCUGAGGGGUGCCCGUGCCUGGCAGGGAGUGCUUGGAUCCAACAGCCCAGCGGCGCAGGUCUCCUUUUUCAUCUUGAAGUGUGAUUCAGGAAGCUGAAGCCAGAGGGCUGUGUACAGACUCAGUUUCUGGUCCCUUUAUCGGUUGUCAGAGUUCAAAUAAAGCUUUCAGUGGAUUGCUGUUUCCUUUCUUUUUUCAUUUAUCAAAUUCUAUAAUAUUUUAUUCAUAUCUUAUUUGAUACAUAGAUAUUGUUUGAACAUAUAAUAGAAUAAGCUACUUAAAUGCUU